UUUACCAAAUAAGUGUAGUGAUAUCUACACAAGCAGAUUUUUUGCUAACUUCAAGUAAUAAUAUCCAUGUUUCUUGCUACCUUACAAAAAAUUGAAAAAUACAUUUAGGAGUGAAAGAAGAAAGAAAUAUAUAGUUACUCAAAUUCAACAUUCAGCUUAUAAAAGCUGCAGCUUUUUUGUAGCUUUCGUAUACUUAUGUACUCAUCCUCUAGAAAAUAAUUGAUUUUCGAUUAUUUUGAAUCGUAUUACGCACCGAUGCGUUGAAAGACCCCGCAAGAGAUGGAGCGACAACACCUCUAAUAAUUAAACGGCAGAGGAUACGAGGAAAAACAAGCAUUUUGCUUACAUUAAAGAAGAAGAAGAAGAAUAACAUAAUGGUAUAGGCAAACAAUUCAAGAUAUUUAAACUUCAAUUCAUAAAAAGGAUGAUUAGGUACUAUGAUCAAUUAAGAAAUAAUACAGAAACGUCAUAGAGGACAUAAUAAACUAAAAUCUAAAAAACCCAAAACAAAAGACGUAAUAUUAUAUAUCAAAUAUCUCGUAAUAAUUGUUACGCUGUCUACCUAGGGCAGAAACCUCAGUAUUUAGAAAAUAGAUUAAAAUGUCAUCAAUAUAAUAGAAAAUUAGAACCGCAUUAACGUACCACAAAAUAUCAAAAAAAAACAUACAUUCAAUUAUAAAGAUUCAAAAAUCUUGAAACGGAAUCAAAUACAUGAAAAAGACAAUUAUUAGAAAUGAAAGAAAGAAAGCCAUUAAUGAUAAAAAUACCUAAUCAAUGUAAAAUUUAUAGUUCUAUUUUAUAAAUUUUAAUGCAACUACGAAUAAUUUAAUUGAUGGCUUCUAUAUAUUGUUAAAACAAAUUUUAAUUAAAUAUUGAUUAAUUAUUUCAAUUAAUCAAUAUUUAUAUCAAUAUUGAAUCCUAUGAAUUUAAAAAUGUUUACAAGAAUUAAUACAAUACAAUAUGGUCAAAUACAAUAUAAGAAAUAUCUAUAAAUGUAUAACAAUAAUAAAAUUUUACUUACCAUAAUUAAUUAAGAUUUCCGGUGAUUUUUGAUAUUAUUAAUGCUUGUAAAAAUUUUUAAACUCAUGGAAUUCAAUAUUCAAGUUGACAUUGAUAGAAAUAUUAAUUAAUUGAAAUAUUUAUUCUGGUAACUAUAAGAAUUUUCAACAAUUUUCAAUUGUUUAGAUUAUGAUUGACCUUGAAUUUUUAUAGGUUAGAUAAGGAUAAGUUGUGGUGAAUGAUGUUCAAUAUCGAUUGGUGAAUUUAUGGAUAACAUUAAAUUCCAAUAGGUUAGGUCUUUAUGAAUGUAGUUGAAUAUUUAUUGGCUAGAAUAUAAAUGACAAUAAAUUUUAUAGGUUAGGUCGUUAUAAGUGAAGUUGAAAUUUAUAGGUUAGGUGAGGUUAGUUGGUUUAAUGGCGUUGAAUUUUUAUAGAAAUUGUUUUUUCAAAAUCUAAAAGAUAUGAUAUGCAUAAAUUACACUAAGGUUAUUUAAAUCAGUUUUCUUAUUAAUGCAUUGAUAAUGUUAAACAAUAUAUUUUGUUCCUAAAAAUAAACGUUUUUUGUAGUUUU